GACGAACCGUGCGAACGUUUAUUCGGAAUCAUUGGGCUUAAAGGGCGCGUAGGCGGCGGCGUAAGUUGGAAGUGAAAUCCCAUCGGCUCAACCGUGGAAUUGCUCCCAGUACUGCGUCGCUCGAGGGGGAUAGGGGUCUGCGGAACUACCGGUGGAGCGGUGAAAUGUGUUGAUAUCGGUGGGAACGCCAGUGGCGAAAGCGGCAGACUGGACCCUUCCUGACGCUGAUGCGCGAAAGCUAGGGGAGCAAACGGG
rnacentral:rRNA from 1 species